UGGGGAAUAUUGCACAAUGGGGGGAACCCUGAUGCAGCGACGCCGCGUGAGUGAAGAAGUAUUUCGGUAUGUAAAGCUCUAUCAGCAGGGAAGAUAAUGACGGUACCUGACUAAGAAGCCCCGGCUAACUACGUGCCAGCAGCCGCGGUAAUACGUAGGGGGCAAGCGUUAUCCGGAUUUACUGGGUGUAAAGGGUGCGUAGGUGGCAGGGCAAGUCAGAUGUGAAAGCCCGGGGCCCAACCCCGGUACUGCAUUUGAAACUGUCCGGCUGGAGUGCAGGAGAGGUAAGCGGAAUUCCUAGUG
rnacentral:rRNA from 1 species